UCCUCCAGCCGCACUCUCUCUGAGACAAACUUGUCCUCCAAAACACUCUCCGGCACUAACCUUCCACCCUCACCACUUCCUACCACCAGCUGGACCCAUGAAGGCUGCAUAUCAGGAGGGUCUCCGGGAGGGCGCCCCUUUUCUCCGAUGUCGGCCAUGGUCGUAUCUUGAUCCCCACUCCUUGGAAACCCUAAAUCUCUCGCCGCAACCAUAUUAGAAGAUUUCUAUAUGGUGAACACGUUACAAUUCCUAAAUAGUUGCUAAUAAUAUAUCUAAUAUAGAUCUAAACCCGUUCUUAAUACUGUUGAUGAUCUAGCUUGAGAACAGCAGAAAAAAUAGAGAUAAGAAGAUCAGAGAAGAGAAGAAGCUUCGAUUCGAGUCAUCCUGAGGUCUGGUUUUUUCUCAAACCCAUUUUUCCGACAAGCUCGACGACACUGACCCGUAACUGUAAGCAAAAGCAAAACGCUUUAAAACAGGCAGCUGGAUUCAAACAAUGUGAUUCUUGCUGUUCCAACCCUGUUGAAUGCCAUCUGAGGUUAACAAUGCAGCAUUUCCAUGUAUGGAGGACCCUGACUUGCACCUUCCAUGAAGUCUUGAAAGACUUGAUGUCUUGGAGAAAAGCGUAGGAAGUAGUCAUUGCCAGACAUGAUUGUUGUGGGUUUCGUAGAGGACUUUAUAUUAACGCCCAGCCCAAUAACAACAAAGCCGGG